AAAUUACGAGCCCAAGCUUAAAACCCAAAGGACUUGACGGUGUUCCACCCCACUAGAGGAGCCUGUUCUAUAAUCGAUUCUCCCCGAUCAACCUCACCACCUUUUGAAUACUCAGCCUGUAUACCUCCGUCGCAAGCUUACCAUGUGAACGCACCCAGUGAGCUUAAUGAUUUAACAUUCAUACGUCAGGUCAAGGUGCAGCCAACAAGGUGGAAAGAAAUGGGCUACAAUUUCUAUCCUAGAAUAAACGAAAGACUACAUGAAACAUAGCCACUGAAGGCGGAUUUAGUAGUAAAAAGAAAAUAGAGAGUUCUUUUUAAUUAGGCCCUGGAACGCGUACACACCGCCCGUCACCCUCUUCGAGCACAAAUAUUAUGUCAUUAACACCCCCCACACCCCUAUAGAAGAGGUAAGUCGUAACACGGUAAGCGUACUGGAAAGUGCACUUGGAAUAACAAAAUGUAACUUAAUUAAAAGUGCCUUGCUUACACCAAGGAUAUGUCUGUGAAACCCUAACCAUUUUGAGCUUAAAAUCCAGCC
rnacentral:rRNA from 1 species